rnacentral:rRNA from 1 species
AAUCAACGCUGGCGGCGUGCCUCAGACAUGCAAGUCGAACGAUUAAACUUCCUUUCGGGGAAGAUAUAAAGUGGCGUACGGUGAGUAACACGUAGGUAAUGUACCUUUGGGUGGGGAAUAACUUAGGGAAACUUAAGCUAAUACCGCAUAAUGCAGCGGCUCGAUAUCGAGACAGUUGUUAAAGGAGUAAUCCGCCUAAAGAGCAGCCUGCGGCAGAUUAGCUAGUUGGUAAGGUAAUGGCUUACCAAGGCUACGAUCUGUAACCGACCUGAGAGGGUGGUCGGUCACACUGACACUGAAUAACGGGUCAGACUCCUACGGGAGGCAGCAGUCGGGAAUUUUGGGCAAUGGGCGAAAGCCUGACCCAGCAACGCCGCGUGAAGGAUGAAGUCUCUCGGGAUGUAAACUUCGUAAGAAUAGGAAGAAUAAAUAGACGGUACUAUUUGUAAGGUCCGGCUAACUACGUGCCAGCAGCCGCGGUAAU